CGGACGGGCCGCGACUGGCGAACGAGGUGGAGCACCACCGGGGAGCUGCCCAGUGCUGGUGACCACCCCGCGUGCCGGACGCCUGGGCCCGCGGC
rnacentral:ncRNA from 2 species